UUGUGAGUAGUCAGGAUGUGUGUGCAGCCAUUGCUUAACUUAACCCUCUCUUGCCCAAGAGGACUUUCCGGUCCUCUUUUGUUUAGCUUAAUCCUACGGGAUGUGUGCAUGUUGUUUCAUGCCCUGCGCCCAUCAGGCUCUUUUGGUACUCUUUUGUGAAGCACGUGGUGUCAUAUGCUAGCACUAGGAGACGACUUCCCGCCAGUAUCCAGUCCAUCGUCGCUGGGGGUGGACGUGUGUUGACACUGCUCCCUUCCCCACACUUUAUGCAGGAUGGAUGCUGUUCCAGCUAGUGGAAAGGAUUUGAGAAAGAAAAGAGGGAGGCCAUCAACUGAUGCUGUAAAGGUAAACUUUGAGAAAAAGAAGAAAUGUGGCAGAGCAACUAAACCCAUUCCUGAAGAUGACAUCCGCAAGGAUGGAAUAGGACACUUCCCUGCUUUCUCAGCAAACCGUGCAACAUGCAAACUCCCAGGGUGCAAAAGCAAAGUGCGUAUGUAUUGCCUAAAAUGUAAUGUGUACUUGUGCUGUGAUCAGAAGAAAAACUGCUUCCUGGACUUUCACCAGUAGGAAUAGAAAACAAUGUGAGAUAAAGGGAAACAUUGUGUUACAAAAAUGAAAUCAAAUGUAUUUUAUGUUUUUUGGAGCUCUAUGUUAUGUUUUGAACAGUAUCAAGAUAUGGAAUAAUUUAUUGUUUGUGUAGAACAUAGAAAAUACCUUACAGAAAAAUUAUUUUUUGUUUUUGCAUUUAAAGUGCUCAAGUGCCCAAUGGACCCAAUUGGUCACCUUUUGGUUAAAUGCCCACAAACAUUUAAAUUUAACAAUUUUUGUAAUAAAUAAUUUCUUCUGCA